GAGUUUGAUCAUGGCUCAGGAUGAACGCUAGCGGGAGGCAUUACACAUGCAGGUCGAGGGGUAUAUUUCUUCGGAAUUAGAGACCGGCGCACGGGUGCGUAACGUGUAUGCAAUCUACCUUUCACAGAGGGAUAGCCCAGAGAAAUUUGGAUUAAUACCUCAUAGUAUAACGACUCCGCAUGGAGAUGUUAUUAAAGUCAUAACGGUGAAAGAUGAGCAUCCGUCCCAUUAGCUAGUUGGCAAGGUAACGGCUUACCAAUGCUACGAUGGGUAGGGGUCCUGAGAGGGAGAUCCCCCACACUGGUACUGAGAC
rnacentral:rRNA from 1 species